GCCAGCUACUUUAUCAUGAGAAUCUAUGGAGAGGUCACGUGGCCUUUAAGAAUACUCACUAUUGGAGCACUCUCUCUAAGAACCCACAUGCAGAGGCCACAUAGAGGAGCUUCAGUUGACAGCUCUGGCUAAGCUCCAACCCAAUAGCCAGCAGCAGCUGCCAGGCUUGUGAAUGACAUCUUGGACAUCCAGCUCAGUCAAGUCUUCAGAUGACUCCAGUCUCAGCUGCCAUCUGACUGCAACUGCAUGAGAGAUUCCAAGUAAGAAUUGUCCCAGUUGAGCCCAGUCAACAUGCAGAAGUUGGGAGAUGAUAAAAAAUUAUUGUUUUGAGACACUAAAUUUUAGAGUAUUUAAUUUUGCAGUAAUAGACACCUGAAACAAUGUUUUCUUCUGAGUUAAUUUGCGAAUUGUGAAAAUUUUCAAGAGAUGGUUAGUAAAAGUUUUUGUGUGCAUAUUUCAAGUUUAAUGUACCUGGUGCUGAAAACCAUUUGGAACUGUAAGCAUGUU
rnacentral:lncRNA from 10 species